rnacentral:antisense_RNA from 1 species
UGAACGGCCAGGUCCCGUCGGCCUCCAGGAGCACCUCCCCGCCGAUGUAGUCGCCGUCGGCGAGGACGCCGAGGACGGUCUCGUCCCCGUACUUCCCGGUGCCGACCCGCUCCAGCCGCCCGUGCGCGACCAGCACCACCUGGUCCGCCGCCGACCCCGCGGACACGACCGCGUCCCCCGGCGCGACCUCCCGCUGCGCGAACCGGUCGGCCAGCGCCGACAGCACCUCCUCGUCCUCGUACGCGCGCAACUGCGGCAGCUCGCGCAGCUCCUGCGGGAUGACGCGCACCUCGUCGCCGACCGAGGUGAACUCGACCUGUCCGUCGCCGAGCGUGUGGGUGAGGCGCCGGUUCACCCGGUACGCACCACCCUUGACCUCCGUCCACGGCAGCGCCUUGAGCAGCCAGCGGGAGGAGAUCCCCUGCAUCUGCGGGGGCGUCUUGGUGGUGGUCGUGAGGUUCCGCGCAGCGGCGGUGUCGAGGCUGAGCCG